UACGUAGGGGGCAAGCGUUGUCCGGAAUCAUUGGGCGUAAGCGCGUGUAGGCGGUCCGGUAAGUCCGCUGUGAAAGUCCAGGGCUCAACCCUGGGAUGCCGGUGGAUACUGUCGGGCUAGAGUACGGAAGAGGCGAGUGGAAUUCCCGGUGUAGCGGUGAAAUGCGCAGAUAUCGGGAGGAACACCUAUUGCGAAGGCAGCUCGCUGGGACGUCACUGACGCUGAGACGCGAAAGCGUGGGGAGCAAACAGG
rnacentral:rRNA from 1 species